GGGUCAGUAUACCGUAUCAGGAAGCGGCGCGGACUGUAAAUCCGUUGGUUCACACCUCAGUAGGUUCGACUCCUACCUGGCCCA
rnacentral:tRNA from 1 species